rnacentral:rRNA from 1 species
GACGAACGCUGGCGGCGUGCUUAACACAUGCCAGUCGAGCGACGCUCUUCCUUCGGGGAGAUGACGGAGCGGCGAACGGGUGAGUAACACGUGGGCAACCUGCCCCUAGCUCUGGGACAACACCGGGAAACCGGUGCUAAUACCGGAUACGACAUCGAGCGGCAUCUCUCGAUGUGGAAAGUUUUUUCGGCUAGGGAUGGGCCCGCGGCCUAUCAGCUUGUUGGUGGGGUAAUGGCCCACCAAGGCGACGACGGGUAGCCGGCCUGAGAGGGCGACCGGCCACACUGGGACUGAGACACGGCCCAGACUCCUACGGGAGGCAGCAGUGGGGAAUAUUGCGCAAUGGGCGAAAGCCUGACGCAGCGACGCCGCGUGAGGGAUGACGGCCUUCGGGUUGUAAACCUCUUUCAGCAGGGACGAAUUCAGACGGUACCUGCAGAAGAAGCACCGGCCAACUACGUG